rnacentral:rRNA from 1 species
AACGAACGCUGGCGGCAGGCCUAACACAUGCAAGUCGAACGCCCCGCAAGGGGAGUGGCAGACGGGUGAGUAACACGUGGGAACGUACCCUUCGGUUCGGAAUAACACAGAGAAAUUUGCGCUAAUACCGGAUACGUCCGAGAGGAGAAAGAUUUAUCGCCGAUGGAUCGGCCCGCGUCUGAUUAGCUUGUUGGUGAGGUAACGGCUCACCAAGGCGACGAUCAGUAGCUGGUCUGAGAGGAUGAUCAGCCACACUGGGACUGAGACACGGCCCAGACUCCUACGGGAGGCAGCAGUGGGGAAUAUUGGACAAUGGGGGAAACCCUGAUCCAGCCAUGCCGCGUGAGUGAUGAAGGCCCUAGGGUUGUAAAGCUCUUUUACCUGGGAAGAUAAUGACUGUACCAGGAGAAUAAGCCCCGGCUAACUUCGUGCCAGCCGCCGCGGUAACAC